rnacentral:lncRNA from 10 species
AUUCGUCAAGAGCCCAGGGAAUGGAGUGCAUAGAACUGAAAACACCUGGCGGGGCGCGGCGGCACACGCCUAUAAUCCCAGCACUUUGGAAGGCUGAGGCGGGAAGAUCGCUUGAGUCCAGGAGUUCGAGACCAGCCUGGGCAACAUAGCAAGGCCCCGUCUUUACAAAAAAUUUAAAAAUUAGCAGGGUCUGGUUACAGGAGCCUGUAGUUCCAGCUACUUGGGAGGUGGGAAGAUCGCUUGAGCCCGGUAGGUUGAGGCUGCACUGAGCUAUGAUCGCGCCCCUGCACUCCGACCUGGUAGACAGAGCCAGACCCUGUCUCAACGAAAGGAAAGAAAUGGGCCGGGCGCGGUGGCUCACGCCUGUAAUCCCAGCACUUUGGAAGGCCGACACGGGCGGAUCACGAGGUUAGGAGAUCGAGACCAUCCUGGCUAACACGGUGAAACCCCGUCUCUACUAAAAAUACAAAAAAUUAGCCGGGCGUGGUGGCGGGCGCCUGUAGUCCCAGCUACUCGGGAGCCUGAGGCACGAGAAUGGUGUGAACCCGGGAGGCGGAGCUUUUAGUGAGCCGAGAUCGUGCCACUGCACUCCAGCCUGGGCGACAGAGCAAGACUCCGUUCCCCCCCCCCCAAAAAAAACAAAGGAAAUAAAUGAAAACAUUGAGGCUAGACUAACUGAUGAAGAGUGGUAACGGCAUGAAGAAGUCGAAAAGAAAGGCGGAUAGGAGCUGCAUUCAAUAUAUGAGUGCAGUUGAUGGAUGCUGACAGGGAUACUCUGGAGACGAAGUCUCGGCCCCUUCGCUAGUCUCUAGUCCUCCAUUUGCUCGCUGCAGUUACAUCAACAGCUCUCUGUAUCGGGGUAGAGUUGCAUAAAAUACAACUUAAAUUACAAUGCUAAAAUAAAUAUGAGCCCAUGAGCGGUAUCAUAGGCCUGAUUUUAAAAAACAAAACCUAGGAGAAGGUAGAAAUUCCAAAGGCGAGAGACGAAUCUGCCAACCUAAAUCCUGGGUGACAAGGCUGGUGGAUCACCGAGGCAAGAAAGAACCAGCGUGAGCUCAAGCCACACCCCUAGGCUCAGACCCAACGCUUGACAUUCGCCGCCGCACUUUCGCCACGCUUGCCGAAGCGCACCCGGCUAACUAGAGGAGGCGGGGCUGAAACCAUAAAAGGGAACUGGGGCGGAGCGAGCUGCGUCGUCGCCAAGGCAACUCGAGAGCUAAGUCCGGGCCUCGGCGGAGCCGGCGCUGCGAAUGGACUGAUGGCCGCUGAGGCUGCUCCUGGCGCGGUUCAUCAUCGGCCGCCGCACUUUCGCGACUGAGACGAAACGACACUCACCUUUACUUAAUGGAAGGCUUCGCUUACAUCCUGAACUUAAAGGAACUACAGAAAGGGACAGAAACUGCUUUCUUUUUAAACAAUGCGCUGAAAGGUUACUAGUGAUAGGAGGCUUAGUGAAGCGCGUGAUGUGAACGGCCACGCUGCAAGGCUGGAGAGAAAAGAGGAGGGAGUGAAGUUGCACCCUGAUCGCGAAUCCUCGGCCUUUUAUCAGGGGCGCCGCCACUCGGGGUCCGACCAUUCGCCUCCAACGAGGGGACAGCGAAUCUGCUGUCGUGUGCAGUCCACAGCAACCACAGGUAUAUGAAAUAAUGUCACUACAUCGGAGCAGCGCCUCUGCUUGCACACCUAUGGGAGUCUGCAGCUGUGACACGUAGAAGUUGGCCACAUCCAGGUCGGUGGCUCCAAAGUGGGCGGCCACACGCACACCCUCGUGCAACGUGAAGCUCACCUGAUGACCCACCAUGGCCAGCAGGCUGCGGAGGUAACGCUCCCGAAGGGCGGCUCGUGCCCGCUGCUCCUGGGAUUCCAGGGAUUCUUGAGCUAUGGGACACUCCUGGAUUUCAGGAACCUCUGGCCUCAAGGGGGCUCUGCGUCCAUCAGGGGCAAAGCCACGGCUGAAGCCAUCAGGGCCCCGGGGCAGCCGGAGCACAGGCACGGGAAUGUUCACUGGAGUUUGCAUUGUCUUGGCUGUUGAGUGAAGAAAAAGAGCAGGAAGUCAUUACAUGGCUCUUCCUGUCUCUGCACCUGAACUGUGAGCCCCUUGCAAGACAGGACCCUGCAGAUAGACCAAGGAUGUGAACCAGGGCUACUCAGUCUGGACACUAUUGACAUUUGGGGCUGGAUAAUUAUCUGCUAUGUUGUGGGGGCUGUCCAACGCAUAGGUGUAGGGUUUGAGCAGCAUCCUAGCCUCUGCCUCCUAUUAAUAGAUGCCAGUAGCAUCCCAUCUUCAAGUUGUGACAGCCAAAAAUGUCACCACUGGUGAACAGUGAAUUGGUGAAUGUGAAUUGCAUCUCAAUACAGUUUUUUUUUAAAGUCUCCAUGAAUUGCCAAACGUCUCCUGAUGGCCCCAAAUGAAACACUGAUGCAGACAAACAGGUCACAAAGAGGGAGGAAGGAAUAAAGAUGGCUAUAGAAGACAUGAACAUAGGCUGGGCACAGUGGCUCCCGCCUGUAAACCCAGAACUUUGGGAGGCCGAGGCAGGCGGAUCACCUGAGGUCAGGAGUUUGAGACCAACCUGGUCAACACGGUGAAACCCUGUCUGUACUAAGAAAUACAAAAAUUAGCCGGGUGUUGGCCGGGCACUGUGGCUCACGCCUGUAAUUCCAGCACUUUGAGAGGCCGAGGUGGGCGGAUCACCUGAGGUCAGGAGUUCGAGACCAGCCUGACCAACAUGGAGAGACCCUGCCUCUACUAAAAAUACAAAAU